GUUUGGUCUGUGUUUGAGCUAUAGGUAUCAAAUGAAUCCUUAGGUUGUUAGGAACAAAUCUAGCCUAUUGCCAUUGUUAUCUGAUGAAGUAUGACUUAAUGAAAACAUUGAAUGUCCACGAGUGACUAUAUCUUUGCGCAUCAAAAAUAUGAUGUCGCCUGCUUACGUGCUGUAGGCAUCCAUUACACAGGGGAAUGGCUACUAAAAAGACAACUAUGAAUAAGUAUACCGAAAUAGAAUCUUUGAAUAAAAUACCGGAGUCAGACUCGAGAAUCAGGGGAGCGAUUUGGACAACGAGGUUUUCGACUCGGCUGAUGAAGAUUGCUUUCUAGAAGGAUUGGAUCCACUUUUAGAUCUACUGGAGUUUGCAGAAGAUUUGGAUGUUGACGUUUGGGAGCCACCCUUCCCCAGCAAGCGCCCCCGCCGGUCAAGGUCUUCACCCCCCACUGCUAUAUCAAUCAGCCCGUCUGAUGGUUCUACAUCCAUUUUUUUUCAUAGACCUCUUGAAAAAGAAAAUAGGGGCUUGUGGCACCAUUUGUCCUAACAGAACCAGUUUCCCCGAGACCAUUUAAACAGCAUGACAAAGACAGCGGAGAGGGGGACCAUACGUUGGAUCAGGACUAACAAGCUGCUUUUUGUGAAAUGGAAGGACACUAGGGAAAUAACCAUGCUCACCACACAGCAUAAGGCAUUCAAUAACAACCAUGUCUCAAGGAGGGUGAAAAAUGGGUAUGGGUGAGGAAGAACAUCCCCAUUCCUGUUUCUGUGAAGGACUACAAUGACAGCAUGCUCUGAUAGGCUACAACCAGGUCAUCCACAAGACCAGGAAGUGGUAUAAGACUAUGUUUUUUACCACUUUGUGGACAUUGCUACAGUAAAUGCUUUCUUUCAUUCUCCACAAGCAGAUGGCCAAAGCAAAAGGUCAAACCCCUCUCUCCCAGUUGGCCUUCAGAGAGCAGCUGGUGUUGGAAAUGGCUGAAUUGGGGGCCCAAAGCAACUUCACAAUCGUCACAAGACCCACUCAAGGUGGGCUCCACUAUCCAACACACAUGCAAAAAGACAAAAGGAAGAACUGCAAGCAUUGCACAAAACACAGGUGGGGGGAAAAGGGUGAAAUGCCAGAUCUUCUGUCUGAAAUGCCAGUUCACUUUUUGUUUCCUGGCAGAGGGGGACUGCUUCAAAGACUAUCAGGACGUGCACAAGCCAUGGUGAAAGUGAAAUCUAAUCAUCUACACAGCGGAUGUAAAACAAACACGAACGCAAUUGGUAAAUAGUUAGCUAGUUUUUAUAGUUUUUGCACCUUUUUUAGUGAAGGACACGUGUGUAACCAAGUUUGUGUUUGAUAAGACAUUUUAUAUAUAUUUUUAACGUAUAUAUGUUGCUUUUAUAUUAUUUUUGUAAACAGUUCAUUUUGAUUUAGGACCAAUACAUUGGAUAUGCCUAAGCUAAAUGUUAAGGCACUUUGGAGAGGUUGAUGUGUUUUCAGCUCUGGUCAUCAAUAAUUCACUUAUAGAUUAUCAAUGACUUUCAAGAUGACUUUCAAAAUUGAACAAGGUUAUUUUGUGUGUGCUUGACCUUGUGUAUUCUGAGCUAUGUAACUCCUAUCUGUCUUCUGAUCAUUUCCUCAUAAUCUCCCAGAUGUCUUCUUUCCAAAUAUACCAAGGAUUUGCAUGUCAGAAUCAUGUAAUUACACAUGAAUAGCAGAUACUUUUGGGUAUGUCUACUUAGACGGAAAUCUUAAUUUUGCCAUUACAUGUAAGAGGUUGAUGACUACCUCAUCUCUGUACCCCACACAUACAAUUAUAUGUAUGGUCCCUCGGUCGAGCAGUGAAUUUCAAACACAGAUUCAACCACAAAGACCAGGGAGGUUUUUCCAAUGCAUCGCAAGAAAGGGCACCUAUAGGUAGAGGGGUCAAAAUAAAAAAAAACAGCCCUUUGAGGAUGGUGACAUUACUAAUUACCCUUUGGAUGGUGUAUCAAUACACCCAGUCAUUAUAAAGAUAUGAGCGUCCUUCCUAACUCAGUUGCCGAUAGGUCAAUAGUGACUUUAAAACAGUUAAAGAGUUGAAUGGCUGUGAUAGGAGAAAACUGAGGUUCGAUCAACAACAAUACAAACCUAAUUGACUGAGUGAAAAGAAGGAAGCCUGGACAGAAUACCUUGUAGCAAGGCACUACAGUAAUACUGCAAAAAAAUGUGGCAAAGCAAUUAGCUUUUUGUCCUGAAUACAAAGAGUUAUUUUGGGGGAAAAUCCAAUACAACACAUUACUGAGUACCACUCCAUAUUUUCAAGAAUAGUGGUGGCUGCAUCAUGUUAUGGGUAUGUUUGUAAUCUUUAAGGAUUGGGGAGUUUGUCAGGAUAAAAAAGAAACCGAAUAGAGCUAAGCACAUGCAAAAUCCUACUAAGCACAGGCAAAAACCUGGUUCAGUCUGCUUUCCACCUGACACUGGGAGAUAAACAAUGACUUACAGUUUUGGAUUAAAUCUGCAUAAACAUCUAUGGCAAGACUUUAAAAUGGUUGUCUAGCAAUGAUCAAUAACCAACUUGACAGAGCAUGAAGAAUUUUGAAAAUAUUAAUGUGCAAAUAUUAAACACUCCAGGUGUGCAAAGCUCUUAGAAACUUACCCCAAAAGACUCUCAGCUGUAAUCGCUGCCAAAGGUGAUUCUAACAUGCAUUGACUCAGGGGUGUGAAUACAUGUAAAUGAGCUAUUUCUGUAUUUCCUUUUCAAUCAAUUUGCAGAAAUGUCGAAAAACAUGUUUUCACUAUGUCAUUAUGGGGUGUUGUGUGUAGAUGGGUGAGAAAAAACAUAUAUUUAAUCCAUUUUAAAUGUAUGCUGUAACACAACUACAUGUGAAAUAAGUCAAGUGGUAUGAAUACAUUCUGAAGGUGCUGUAUAAUGUGUGCAGUAAUAUUAGCACUAUUACAGGUCCCAAAAACAGAUUCAACUCAAUUUGUUUAAUAUGCUUGGUGACUACUAUAGUAAGCCUAUACCAAGUGUAAACAUUGUUAUAUGACAGAAGAAACGGCCUUGCAUUCUUAAAACAAAACAUCUAAGAUUGUCCUUUUGUCCAAUGCAUAUUCAACGUGUGUGUAAAUGUUACUAUUGGGCCAUUAUAAACACUGGGAUCAAUGUGAAUUCCACUAUA